UUUAAGAUCAAGAUAUUUUGCUUUUCCAUGUACCCUAAUAUUGUCAAUUUUAAAGUAAUUAUAGCCAUAAACUUAACAGACAUGUAUAUUAAGAUGUAAAAUACCUAUUUUCACUCAUCUUACAGAUAUUGUAGGAACAGUGAAAAAUAAUUUAGGAAUUAUGAGCUUCAAGUUCACCAGCCUACACAUGAUGACUGAUGAUUUGAGCUUCCAAAAGAGAAAUGCAUCCUUGGAGAUGACAACCUCAGAGAGUGGAUCACGAUGUCUACCCAAAGUCCCACAGAGCCUGAACUCACUGGGAAGCUUUGUGAUUCCGAAGCCAAGCUCUUCACCGUGCAGUCAACGCUAGCAUAUAGUCUGUGGUGUGUGAGAAGUGACUGAUGAUUCAACAUGACGGAGAGAGAACAAGCUCAGAGGUCUCAAUGACAGCAGGAACCAAGUGCAUAAGAAGAGAGAUCAUUUCUUUUCACCCGUCUCCUAUUGGUGUGGUGAACCUGGUGCUGCCACGGUGCCUCAGUUUAUCCUGACCCUUCACCCAGCUCCAGCAGCUGCCGAGGAUCCACUGCCAGCUCAGCUGGGCAGGCAACUGUGAAUUGAACUCCCCAGGGGUGAGCACUGACCUGCAGAAGAUGGCAGAAGCCGACGAUGCAGGCUCACUUCCCCUGCGCCGCUGUGCACCCAAAGAGAAGCCCCUCAGCAGCCAACUGGGACUCCUCACCUGCGUUUCCUCAGGAGCAUCAGGGGAGCCAGUGCUCUGCUCCA